rnacentral:lncRNA from 1 species
UACGUACGCACCGGUGACAAAUUAUAUUCAAUUGCAAUGCUACUGGCAAGAUAUAGGAGGAAUGUGGGGACUUGGAUCUCCAUAUUCGAAUGACAACAUACAAGUUCCUUCAUACCUAGCCAGUCUCCAAUAAAUGAGAGGUGCAAUUUUGGAGUUUCAAAAAAAAUUACAUAUGACCACUGGAGCCUAGAGGCAGCAUAUGAGC